GGGUUGUGAGGUUAAGCGACUAAGCGUACACGGUGGAUGCCCUGGCAGUCAGAGGCGAUGAAGGACGUGCUAAUCUGCGAUAAGCGUCGGUAAGGUGAUAUGAACCGUUAUAACCGGCGAUUUCCGAAUGGGGAAACCCAGUGUGUUUCGACACACUAUCAUUAACUGAAUCCAUAGGUUAAUGAGGCGAACCGGGGGAACUGAAACAUCUAAGUACCCCGAGGAAAAGAAAUCAACCGAGAUUCCCCCAGUAGCGGCGAGCGAACGGGGAGGAGCCCAGAGCCUGAAUCAGUGUGUGUGUUAGUGGAAGCGUCUGGAAAGGCGCGCGAUACAGGGUGACAGCCCCGUACACAAAAAUGCACAUGCUGUGAGCUCGAUGAGUAGGGCGGGACACGUGGUAUCCUGUCUGAAUAUGGGGGGACCAUCCUCCAAGGCUAAAUACUCCUGACUGACCGAUAGUGAACCAGUACCGUGAGGGAAAGGCGAAAAGAACCCCGGCGAGGGGAGUGAAAAAGAACCUGAAACCGUGUACGUACAAGCAGUGGGAGCACGCUUAGGCGUGUGACUGCGUACCUUUUGUAUAAUGGGUCAGCGACUUAUAUUCUGUAGCAAGGUUAACCGAAUAGGGGAGCCGAAGGGAAACCGAGUCUUAACUGGGCGUUAAGUUGCAGGGUAUAGACCCGAAACCCGGUGAUCUAGCCAUGGGCAGGUUGAAGGUUGGGUAACACUAACUGGAGGACCGAACCGACUAAUGUUGAAAAAUUAGCGGAUGACUUGUGGCUGGGGGUGAAAGGCCAAUCAAACCGGGAGAUAGCUGGUUCUCCCCGAAAGCUAUUUAGGUAGCGCCUCGUGAACUCAUCUCCGGGGGUAGAGCACUGUUUCGGCAAGGGGGUCAUCCCGACUUACCAACCCGAUGCAAACUGCGAAUACCGGAGAAUGUUAUCACGGGAGACACACGGCGGGUGCUAACGUCCGUCGUGAAGAGGGAAACAACCCAGACCGCCAGCUAAGGUCCCAAAGUCAUGGUUAAGUGGGAAACGAUGUGGGAAGGCCCAGACAGCCAGGAUGUUGGCUUAGAAGCAGCCAUCAUUUAAAGAAAGCGUAAUAGCUCACUGGUCGAGUCGGCCUGCGCGGAAGAUGUAACGGGGCUAAACCAUGCACCGAAGCUGCGGCAGCGACGCUUAUGCGUUGUUGGGUAGGGGAGCGUUCUGUAAGCCUGCGAAGGUGUGCUGUGAGGCAUGCUGGAGGUAUCAGAAGUGCGAAUGCUGACAUAAGUAACGAUAAAGCGGGUGAAAAGCCCGCUCGCCGGAAGACCAAGGGUUCCUGUCCAACGUUAAUCGGGGCAGGGUGAGUCGACCCCUAAGGCGAGGCCGAAAGGCGUAGUCGAUGGGAAACAGGUUAAUAUUCCUGUACUUGGUGUUACUGCGAAGGGGGGACGGAGAAGGCUAUGUUGGCCGGGCGACGGUUGUCCCGGUUUAAGCGUGUAGGCUGGUUUUCCAGGCAAAUCCGGAAAAUCAAGGCUGAGGCGUGAUGACGAGGCACUACGGUGCUGAAGCAACAAAUGCCCUGCUUCCAGGAAAAGCCUCUAAGCAUCAGGUAACAUCAAAUCGUACCCCAAACCGACACAGGUGGUCAGGUAGAGAAUACCAAGGCGCUUGAGAGAACUCGGGUGAAGGAACUAGGCAAAAUGGUGCCGUAACUUCGGGAGAAGGCACGCUGAUAUGUAGGUGAAGCGACUUGCUCGUGGAGCUGAAAUCAGUCGAAGAUACCAGCUGGCUGCAACUGUUUAUUAAAAACACAGCACUGUGCAAACACGAAAGUGGACGUAUACGGUGUGACGCCUGCCCGGUGCCGGAAGGUUAAUUGAUGGGGUUAGCGCAAGCGAAGCUCUUGAUCGAAGCCCCGGUAAACGGCGGCCGUAACUAUAACGGUCCUAAGGUAGCGAAAUUCCUUGUCGGGUAAGUUCCGACCUGCACGAAUGGCGUAAUGAUGGCCAGGCUGUCUCCACCCGAGACUCAGUGAAAUUGAACUCGCUGUGAAGAUGCAGUGUACCCGCGGCAAGACGGAAAGACCCCGUGAACCUUUACUAUAGCUUGACACUGAACAUUGAGCCUUGAUGUGUAGGAUAGGUGGGAGGCUUUGAAGUGUGGACGCCAGUCUGCAUGGAGCCGACCUUGAAAUACCACCCUUUAAUGUUUGAUGUUCUAACGUUGACCCGUAAUCCGGGUUGCGGACAGUGUCUGGUGGGUAGUUUGACUGGGGCGGUCUCCUCCUAAAGAGUAACGGAGGAGCACGAAGGUUGGCUAAUCCUGGUCGGACAUCAGGAGGUUAGUGCAAUGGCAUAAGCCAGCUUGACUGCGAGCGUGACGGCGCGAGCAGGUGCGAAAGCAGGUCAUAGUGAUCCGGUGGUUCUGAAUGGAAGGGCCAUCGCUCAACGGAUAAAAGGUACUCCGGGGAUAACAGGCUGAUACCGCCCAAGAGUUCAUAUCGACGGCGGUGUUUGGCACCUCGAUGUCGGCUCAUCACAUCCUGGGGCUGAAGUAGGUCCCAAGGGUAUGGCUGUUCGCCAUUUAAAGUGGUACGCGAGCUGGGUUUAGAACGUCGUGAGACAGUUCGGUCCCUAUCUGCCGUGGGCGCUGGAGAACUGAGGGGGGCUGCUCCUAGUACGAGAGGACCGGAGUGGACGCAUCACUGGUGUUCGGGUUGUCAUGCCAAUGGCACUGCCCGGUAGCUAAAUGCGGAAGAGAUAAGUGCUGAAAGCAUCUAAGCACGAAACUUGCCCCGAGAUGAGUUCUCCCUGACCCUUUAAGGGUCCUGAAGGAACGUUGAAGACGACGACGUUGAUAGGCCGGGUGUGUAAGCGCAGCGAUGCGUUGAGCUAACCGGUACUAAUGAACCGUGAGGCUUAACCUUACAACGCCGAAGCUGUU
rnacentral:rRNA from 1 species